AAACACUCGCCGCCGACACUCUAGACAGGCGCCGUCAGCGUGGAUGCGAGGACGUCCGCGGAGGACGCGGGAGUUCGCCGUGCCGGACACACGCAUACGUGUUCAUCGUUAACAACGCGGUCCCAGUGUACCCCCAGCGACGGAGGGCGAGUCACCAGUUGGCGGGGAAGUAGCGCCGCGGCCACUAAUGGAUGAUGAAGAGGAAGACAUGCCUCGGCCUGUCUCGUCCCACUGGGGGACUCCCGUCAUGGAUGCUAAGGACAGAGCCAUGCAGGGGAGGGUCAGGACCUGGCCCCUCGGGGACCCGGCGCAGUCGAGGCCGCUCGUCAACGGCAACAACGGCUACGGUUUGCACUUCCCGGCGCUACCCGGGGCAGGUCGCGGUCAGAGGCACGGCGGGAACGACCGAGCCAGGCGCCCGGCAGAGGACGUGAGCCCGAGCUUGGAGGGCGACCCCGCCGCGCACGUGGAGGCCCAGAUCGGCCGGAAACUCCGGGAGAUCGGGGAUCGGUUCAACCGGGAGCACCUGCAGCUGUUGGUCAGACACCAAAGAGAUCGGCUGCCGGCGUGGUGGCGUCUGACCAUGGCGCUCUGCGACUUCCUGUUCCGGAGGGAGAACCCAAGAUGAAGUGGGUCCCGGCGGAGGACAGGCCUCGUCCCAUUGCACUCCAAAAGACUCUGUGACGGCACUGUACGACGGAACACGGCUUUCGGCUGAACGGAUUAAAGUGACUCGAUGACAAUGAACAGAAACGGAAGACAGUGGUGGUCACCGCAGGACGGAGACUCUUUUUUUUAAAUUUUUAAUUAUUAUUAUUAUUAUUAUAUUUCGUUCCCAGUUCAUGAAGAAGCCAUUCUGCUUGAAGAGCUAUUUAAAGUGUUUCUUUCGGUCUGUUGCUUUUUUUUUUUUUUUAAAUGGACCUCUUGUCAGAUCAGCUAAUGCCUUACUCUGUUCCUGCACCGGCGGAAGGACUUCGACGGCGGGGGAGGGGGCGGGAUUAAAAACGGCCCGAGACGUGACCAGUCCGGUGACGGGACUCGAGGUCCUCACCCGAAGCCCACUUCGGAGAGCCUCCCCCCUCCGAGCGCUGUACGCUGGCCGCGGCCGCCGGAGGAGGCUGCGUUGACCUUCACACGGCGUGAAAAAAGAAAAAAGAAACGUGGCUUGGUGAUGGUUUUUUUUUUGUUUUUUUUAAACAGAGCACAGGAAAAGACGCGCCUAGACCUUCGCGACCGUAACCAGCCUAGCGCAUAACUUUCAUGCGAGGCGUUUUUUUUUUUUUUUUUUCCCUUGACUCCGCCCCCCCCCGGGCGCUCCCGACCCAUUCGUCGGGGGGUUUACUGUGAGCACAGCUUCCGAGGUGCUACGGGACCACAUUUCAGAGGGGUCCUCUUGCGGCGAACGCGCUGUUGUAACGCCCGCCCAGUCUGAUUGCACUUGAACUUGAACUUGCCUUUCGGCCCCCUCGGAGCAGCAAUGCGGUGAUGGGGGGUGGGGACGCCACCGGAGGCUGUGAAACCCUCGAGGUCGACGCUGUUACAAUCCCGGUCAGCACGAGUAGGGCAGACCUUCGUGGGUCGAAUCAAAUUUGCCUUAUUUGUCUGAUCUGUCCGAUGGGAAAGCGAGCACGUGGAAGUGCCGAAAAUUGCUUUUCAAUAAAAAAAACACACACACACA
rnacentral:lncRNA from 1 species